GCCACCAGCUCAGCCUGUUUGGCUGCCACGGCAAACUGCCAUAAAACCACAUGGUUUAUAAGGCAAAACAAAUCUAAUUCUCGGUUUUAGAACCUGGGGAUUCCACACAAAAGAUGGGAAAGGCUUUACAGAGGUGAUUUAAAUCAAAGACCUUCAAAUGGGGAAACCAAGCAGCAGAUCCUGGAAAUGGCCCAGCUCCAGACUGGAGGAGGCAAAGGGAAGUUUGGCAUCCGCGACUGAAGGCAGAGACACCAACUAAAAACCACCGAGUGGAUCUGAAGUCUUUUUGAGGGAGCUGUGAGACCAACCUUCCUACUACCCUGGACUUGGUGUGGUCAACAACCCUGACUCAGGACUUCUAAAAGGAGCCUGAUAGACUCACCGGCUCAGAAUGGACACAAGACAGAGAGACGGGUGUCCAGAUAAAAAUAUCU